rnacentral:rRNA from 1 species
UAGGGAAUCUUCGGCAAUGGGGGGCAACCCUGACCGAGCAACGCCGCGUGAGUGAAGAAGGUCUUCGGAUCGUAAAACUCUGUUGUUAGAGAAGAACACGAGUGAGAGUAACUGUUCAUUCGAUGACGGUAUCUAACCAGCAAGUCACGGCUAACUACGUACCAG